CCCCGCCCGCCGCUGCCGCUGGGCACGCCCCUGCCGGGCCCGGCCUGCCCGCCCGCCCCUUCUGCGGCCUUUCAAAAUACUCCCAUAAUUGCUCUACAUUACCAAACACCCAACACAACAAAAUCAAGAUAUGCCUGUAGCACAUGGAGGCUUCCAGCCAUCAGUGACCAAUGGAUUGAGGUGCAAUUUGUCUCUGGCCAUUAUCUUCAAUGCCAAUCAAGAAACAACUCCUAUUGCCUACUCCCUUAUCUACAGUUCUGUCUCCUCAGUCUUCAACAGCACCACAUUCCACUAUUUCUGUCAGGUGAGGGAGAGGAAACAAGAAGGUUGUGACACAGGGAUGCUGCUUAAAUUACACGCCCUGUCUCACGCAGCAAAUGUCUCAUCGUCAUGGGUUCUUCACAGGGGCCAUGUAUGACCCAGAUAGACACAGUCACAGCACCCUUGGUGGGAGCACCCUUUCACUCACCUGAAAACAUGAGACCUUGUCUCUCCCCAGCCACUCCUGUGUCUAGGAGGGAGUUUUAAGUUAGUCACGUGUGAGUCAUGAACUCUGGAACAGCCAAACAUGUCAAGAUGGAAGAUCUGCCUGGAGACACAGCCUGUCACAGCCUCAGCUGCUGAAUAUACUGAUAUAUUAAUAAAUGUGUAUCUAGGCACCCUCUUUGCAGUUCACUUGCUCCUUGAACACUUAAACUUCUCCUGGCUUUCUUGUAGCUGACUCUUGCACACAGUUACUCAAUUUUCUACUGCAACUGCCAUGGGCAUGUUUCCAAAAUGUUGCCUAUCGGGCAGAUGGAGGCUAUGAAUGCAAUCCCACUCUGAGAUGGUCUGAACAGCAGCUCAGUCAGGACUGCUCUGUUCUUUACUCCUAUCACAUGGUCACGGUGAAGUAACCAGCAAAACUUUUCUUACAAUUCUCUUCAACUACACCUCUUUUGUUCAAGUGCCAAAAUUCACAG